GCGGCGAGUGGCGGACGGGUGAGUAAUGCGUGGGAAUCUGCCUGGUAGUGGGGGACAACCCGAGGAAACUCGGGCUAAUACCGCAUACGCUCUACGGAGGAAAGCGGGGGAUCUUCGGACCUCGCGCUAUCAGAUGAGCCCACGUCGGAUUAGCUUGUUGGUGGGGUAAUGGCUCACCAAGGCGACGAUCCGUAGCUGGUCUGAGAGGACGAUCAGCCACACUGGGACUGAGACACGGCCCAGACUCCUACGGGAGGCAGCAGUGGGGAAUAUUGGACAAUGGGCGCAAGCCUGAUCCAGCAAUGCCGCGUGUGUGAAGAAGGCCUGCGGGUUGUAAAGCACUUUCAGUGGGGAAGAAAAUCUCGAGGUUAAUACCCUCGGGCCUUGACGUUACCCACAGAAGAAGCACCGGCCAACUCCGUGCCAGCAGCCGCGGUAAUACGGAGGGUGCAAGCGUUAAUCGGAAUUACUGGGCGUAAAGGGCACGCAGGUGGCUGGGUCAGUCGGAUGUGAAAGCCCCGGGCUUAACCUGGGAACUGCAUUCGAUACUACCCGGCUAGAGUAUGGGAGAGGGAAGCGGAAUUCCCGGUGUAGCGGU
rnacentral:rRNA from 1 species